rnacentral:rRNA from 1 species
CCUACGGGCGGCAGCAGUGGGGAAUAUUGGACAAUGGGGGCAACCCUGAUCCAGCCAUGCCGCGUGUGUGAAGAAGGCCCUCGGGUUGUAAAGCACUUUCAGUGAGGAAGAACGCCUGGUGGUUAAUACCCAUCAGGAAAGACAUCACUCACAGAAGAAGCACCGGCUAACUCCGUGCCAGCAGCCGCGGUAAUACGGAGGGUGCGAGCGUUAAUCGGAAUUACUGGGCGUAAAGCGCGCGUAGGUGGCUUGAUAAGCCGGUUGUGAAAGCCCCGGGCUCAACCUGGGAACGGCAUCCGGAACUGUCAAGCUAGAGUGCAGGAGAGGAAGGUAGAAUUCCCGGUGUAGAGGUGAAAUGCGUAGAGAUCGGGAGGAAUACCAGUGGCGAAGGCGGCCUUCUGGACUGACACUGACACUGAGGUGCGAAAGCGUGGGUAGCAAACAGGAUUAGAUACCCCUGUAGGC